ensembl:lncRNA
CUGUAGUGUGAGGCAGAAUGGCCCGUGGGGCUGGAGUCUGUCUCCUAUUCCUGUAGUGUGAGGCAGAAUGGCCCGUGGGGCUGGAGUCUGUCUCCUGUUUCUGUAGUGUGAGGCAGAAUGGCCCGUGGUGCUGGAGUCUGUCUCCUAUUCCUGUAGUGUGAGGCAGAAUGGCCCGUGGGGCUGGAGUCUGUCUCCUGUUUCUGUAGUGUGAGGCAGAAUGGCCCAUGGGGCUGGAGUCUGUCUCCUGUUUCUGUACCCUGAGUCAUCCUGAUGUGCUGGUAAAUCCAGGUGACAUAUUUCAGUAGGUUUCAUUUGUGUGUGUGGUGUGUAAGGUGUGUGUGGUGUAUGUGGUGUAUGUGGUGUUUAAGGUGUGUAAGGUGUGUGUGGUGUGUAAGGUGUGUGUGGUGUGUGUGGUGUAUGUGAUGUAUGUGGUGUGUGUGGUGUAUGUGGUGUAUGUGGUGUGUGGUGUGUGUGGUGUGUAAGGUGUGUGUGGUGUGUGUGGUGUGUAAGGUGUGUGUGGUGUGUGUGUGGUGUGUAUAAGGUGUAUUAGGUGUGUAAGGUGUGUGUGCUGUGUAAGGUGUGUGUGGUGUGUAAGGUGUGUGUGGUGUGUAAGGUGUGUGUGGUGUGUUUGUGGUGUGUGUGUGUGGUGUGUAUAAGGUGUGUAUGGUGUCUUUCAGCUGUAUUGUGUGUUUGUGGGGGAGAGUUCUUCUUAGGAGCUAACAGUCAUGGAAGUAAUUAAGAGCAUGCAGGUACCUUUAGUAGCAUGGAUAAUUUAGGAGCAGAGGAUAUGAAGGAGCAAUAAUAUGAAGAAGCAAGAGAUAGGAAAGAGCAAUCAUAUGAAGGGGCAAGAGAUAAGAAGCAGCAGAGGAUAUGAAGAAGAAGAGGAUAUGACAGGAGAUAUGAAAGAGUAAUGAUAUGAAGGAGCAGGAGAUAUGAAGGAGCAGAGAAUAUGAAGGAGCCGAGGACGUGAAGGUUGUGGGGAUUUGAAGGAGCAGAGAAUAUGAAGGAGCCGAGGACGUGAAAGUGUGGGGAUUUGAAGGAGCAGAGAAUAUGAAGGAGCCGAGGACCUGAAAGUGUGGGGAUUUGAAGGAGCAGAGAAUAUAAAGAUUAUGAUCUCCGAUCUCUUUUCCACAUCUCAGACCUUCUCUCCACUCUCUCCACUCUCUCCUCUUUCCUCUCCUUUCUC